rnacentral:rRNA from 1 species
AAUGAACGUUGGCGGCGUGGAUUAGGCAUGCAAGUCGAGCGAGAACCCAGCAAUGGGGGACAGCGGCGAAAGGGACAGUAAUGUGUAGAUCAUCUGCCCUCAGGCCUGGGAUAGCUGCGGGAAACUGCAGGUAAUACCAGAUAAUAUCUCCGGAUCAAAGGUGUGAUUCCGCCUGGGGAUGAGUCUACAUCCUAUUAGCUAGUUGGUAGGGUAACGGCCUACCAAGGCUUUGAUGGGUAGCGGGUGUGAGAGCACGACCCGCGUCAUUGGGACUGAGACACUGCCCAGACACCUACGGGUGGCUGCAGUCGAGAAUCUUCGGCAAUGGACGCAAGUCUGACCGAGCGACGCCGCGUGCGGGAUGAAGGCCUUCGGGUUGUAAACCGCUGUCAGAGGGGAUGAAAUAUUGGUGGGUUCUCCCAUCAGUUUGACAUAGCCUCAGAGGAAGGACGGGCUAAGUUCGUGCCAGCAGCCGCGGUAAAAC